ACACAUGCAGUCGAACGCUGAAGCUCCCAGCUUGCUGGGGGUGGAUGAGUGGCGAACGGGUGAGUAACACGUGAGUAACCUGCCCCGAACUCUGGGAUAAGCGCUGGAAACGGCGUCUAAUACUGGAUAUGUCCUAUCACCGCAUGGUGUGUAGGUGGAAAGAAUUUCGGUUCGGGAUGGACUCGCGGCCUAUCAGCUAGAUGGUGAGGUAAUGGCUCACCAUGGCGACGACGGGUAGCCGGCCUGAGAGGGUGACCGGCCACACUGGGACUGAGACACGGCCCAGACUCCUACGGGAGGCAGCAGUGGGGAAUAUUGCACAAUGGGCGCAAGCCUGAUGCAGCAACGCCGCGUGAGGGAUGACGGCCUUCGGGUUGUAAACCUCUUUUAGUAGGGAAGAAGCGCAAGUGACGGUACCUGCAGAAAAAGCACCGGCUAACUACGUGCCAGCAGCCGCGGUAAUACGUAGGGUGCAAGCGUUGUCCGGAAUUAUUGGGCGUAAAGAGCUCGUAGGCGGCUUGUCGCGUCUGCUGUGAAAACCAGAGGCUCAACCUCUGGCCUGCAGUGGGUACGGGCAAGCUAGAGUGCGGUAGGGGGAGAUUGGAAUUCCUGGUGUAGCGGUGGAAUGCGCAGAUAUCAGGAGGAACACCGAUGGCGAAGGCAGAUCUCUGGGCCGUAACUGACGCUGAGGAGCGAAAGCAUGGGGAGCGAACAGGAUUAGAUACCCUGGUAGUCCAUGCCGUAAACGUUGGGAACUAGAUGUAGGGCCUGUUCCACGGGUUCUGUGUCGUAGCUAACGCAUUAAGUUCCCCGCCUGGGGAGUACGGCCGCAAGGCUAAAACUCAAAGGAAUUGACGGGGGCCCGCACAAGCGGCGGAGCAUGCGGAUUAAUUCGAUGCAACGCGAAGAACCUUACCAAGGCUUGACAUAUACGAGAACACUGUAGAGAUACAGGACUCUUUGGACACUCGUAAACAGGUGGUGCAUGGUUGUCGUCAGCUCGUGUCGUGAGAUGUUCGGUUAAGUCCGGCAACGAGCGCAACCCUCGUCCUAUGUUGCCACACGUUAUGGUGGGAACUCAUGGGAUACUGCCGUGGUCACCCCGAGGAAAGGUGGGGAUGACGUCAAUCAUCAUGCCCCUAAGUCUUGGGG
rnacentral:rRNA from 1 species